GAAUGCUGACAUAAGUAACGAUAAAGCGGGUGAAAAGCCCGCUCGCCGGAAGACCAAGGGUUCCUGUCCAACGUUAAUCGGGGCAGGGUGAGUCGACCCCUAAGGCGAGGCCGAAAGGCGUAGUCGAUGGGAAACGGGUUAAUAUUCCCGUACUUGGUGUUACUGCGAAGGGGGGACGGAGAAGGCUAUGUUGGCCGGGCGACGGUUGUCCCGGUUUAAGCGUGUAGGUGUGUGUUCCAGGUAAAUCCGGUUCACUUUAACACUGAGGCGUGACGACGAGGCACUACGGUGCUGAAGCAACAAAUGCCCUGCUUCCAGGAAAAGCCUCUAAGCAUCAGGUAACAUCAAAUCGUACCCCAAACCGACACAGGUGGUCAGGUAGAGAAUACCAAGGCGCUUGAGAGAACUCGGGUGAAGGAACUAGGCAAAAUGGUGCCGUAACUUCGGGAGAAGGCACGCUGACAUGUAGGUGAAGUGAUUUACUCAUGGAGCUGAAGUCAGUCGAAGAUACCAGCUGGCUGCAACUGUUUAUUAAAAACACAGCACUGUGCAAACACGAAAGUGGACGUAUACGGUGUGACGCCUGCCCGGUGCCGGAAGGUUAAUUGAUGGGGUCAGCGCAAGCGAAGCUCCUGAUCGAAGCCCCGGUAAACGGCGGCCGUAACUAUAACGGUCCUAAGGUAGCGAAAUUCCUUGUCGGGUAAGUUCCGACCUGCACGAAUGGCGUAAUGAUGGCCAGGCUGUCUCCACCCGAGACUCAGUGAAAUUGAACUCGCUGUGAAGAUGCAGUGUACCCGCGGCAAGACGGAAAGACCCCGUGAACCUUUACUAUAGCUUGACACUGAACAUUGAGCCUUGAUGUGUAGGAUAGGUGGGAGGCUUUGAAGUGUGGACGCCAGUCUGCAUGGAGCCGACCUUGAAAUACCACCCUUUAAUGUUUGAUGUUCUAACGUGGACCCGUAAUCCGGGUUGCGGACAGUGUCUGGUGGGUAGUUUGACUGGGGCGGUCUCCUCCUAAAGAGUAACGGAGGAGCACGAAGGUUGGCUAAUCCUGGUCGGACAUCAGGAGGUUAGUGCAAUGGCAUAAGCCAGCUUGACUGCGAGCGUGACGGCGCGAGCAGGUGCGAAAGCAGGUCAUAGUGAUCCGGUGGUUCUGAAUGGAAGGGCCAUCGCUCAACGGAUAAAAGGUACUCCGGGGAUAACAGGCUGAUACCGCCCAAGAGUUCAUAUCGACGGCGGUGUUUGGCACCUCGAUGUCGGCUCAUCACAUCCUGGGGCUGAAGUAGGUCCCAAGGGUAUGGCUGUUCGCCAUUUAAAGUGGUACGCGAGCUGGGUUUAGAACGUCGUGAGACAGUUCGGUCCCUAUCUGCCGUGGGCGCUGGAGAACUGAGGGGGGCUGCUCCUAGUACGAGAGGACCGGAGUGGACGCAUCACUGGUGUUCGGGUUGUCAUGCCAAUGGCACUGCCCGGUAGCUAAAUGCGGAAGAGAUAAGUGCUGAAAGCAUCUAAGCACGAAACUUGCCCCGAGAUGAGUUCUCCCUGAGACUUAGAGUCUCCUGAAGGAACGUUGAAGACGACGACGUUGAUAGGCCGGGUGUGUAAGCGCAGCGAUGCGUUGAGCUAACCGGUACUAAUGAACCGUGAGGCUUAACCUUAC
rnacentral:rRNA from 1 species